GACACAGCGAAAAAGCAAGCUGGGAAGCGGGAUCCUUAUCCUCCUUUCGGAAGCCCGAACAAGAAAGAGGGCGAGCAAGUGGGAAUGCUUCCUUAAAUAACGGCACUCCCUCAUCCAAACCAGUCAAAUGACAGUCAUGCGCCCUUCCAGUGCUGUGGGGAAAACACCAGAUACGCUGUUCCAAGGCAGCUGACCACCAGUCCAGCGGCUGAGACAUAUCCACAGAAUACAAGACUCCUAAUACAAAUUACGGUGGGAACCAGCUACCUAGGAUGAUGAGCGCUGAUGGAAUGGACGGUGACGAAGGUGCUGCUGCUGUGGUAAGGAUCAACCUGUGGUCAUUCCAGUUCUGCUUUUGCUAGGAAGUUUAAUACUCCUGAAACACAGUUUUUAUCCUUAUCCAAUGCCUUGUAGAACCAGGUAAAAGGAAAAUUUUUAUAGUUCUCUCAGUACAGUAAAAGGAAAAAUUUUAUAGUUGCUGAUACCCACACCCAGGGUGGCCAUUACCAUUUGGUUCUUGAAGUUGUUG
rnacentral:lncRNA from 1 species